GACGAACGCUGGCGGCGUGCUUAACACAUGCAAGUCGAACGGUGAAGCGCCUUCCUUUUUGGUGGGUGUGGAUGAGUGGCGAACUGGUGAGUAACACGUGAGUAACCUGCCCCCUUCUUCUGGAUAACCGCAUGAAAGUGUGGCUAAUACGGGAUAUUCUGGGUCUUUCGCAUGAUGGGUCUGGGAAAGAUAUUGUUUCGGUGGGGGAUGUGCUCGCGUCCUAUCAGCUUGUUGGUGGGGUGAUGGCCUACCAAGGCGGUGACGGGUAGCCGGCCUGGGAGGGUGGACGGUCAGACUGGGACUGAGACACGGAACAGACUCCGACGGGAGGCAGAAGUGGGGAAUAGUGCACAAUGGGAGCAAGCCUGAUGAAGCGACGCCGCGGGAGGGAGGGAGGCCGUCGGGUUGUGAACCUCUUUAGACAGUGAAGCAGGCCUGCCUCGUUUGUGGGUGGGUUGACGGUAGCUGGAUAAGAAGCGCCGGCUAACUACGUG
rnacentral:rRNA from 1 species